CUCACUCCGAGUCAGAGGAGACAACGAUAAACAAAAUAAAUAUGUAAAGUAUUGGUGUAUCGUACAGUGACAAGGGAUGCAGAGAACAAUGAAGUACAAAUGCAAGACCCUGAGCAAUGGCGGUGCAGGCCGGUUUGGAAGAGCAUGGUCAGAGAAGACCUCACCAAGAAGGUGGCACUUGACAAGGACCUGAAAAAGAAGAGGGAUGAGCGUGGAGGCCACGUGGGAGACAAGCAUCCCAGGCACAAACAAGUAGCCUGCAUGCCCAGCCAGGCGGAGACAUCAGAUUGGCCAUCACACGUCCUUCAGAAGACCUGCAGGGGCAGUAGGUGAGGUCAGGACAUUAGAGAGAUUGGAUGACCCCCAGUUUCCAGGCCUCAUGAAGACUUUCUAAGUGAUGUAGGAAGUCCAUGCAUGUUGCCCACAAAGGAGAGACAAACCACUCUGUGCUUAGUGUGGUGAAGGGAGACGUCCUCCCUCAUGUUGGAGAUGGACAAGAGGCCAAGUGCAGAGAACGGGAGGCUGGGAGGGACCAGGAGAGCUCUUUUCACGACGCUCCCAGUGGCCCAUCCGGAGCACACCAGUUGGGAACUUCUGCUGUUCAGCGUCCGGGGACACAAAGUUUACAGGACUACAGGGGAUGAAGGGUUAGAAAGGAUGAUGAUCCAAGGACCCAGUGAGACAAACCGAGAGUGUGAGGUGGUUUACCAGAUGCCUGCUCUGGUGCCUUCCAACAGACACUGCCACAAGAAAGGUGAGGUGUUCCACGUAAACAACAGGAUCGAACUCAGGCCCUUGCACUUGCAAGGCAGGUGUGGCACCACUGAGCUAAAUCCCAGGCCCUUGAAAGUUAUUUAAGAUUUUGAAAAUCCCAAAGAAUCUACUAAAAACUAUUAGAAUUAGAAAAUGAGUUCAGCAAAGUUGAGGGCAUAAGAUCAAUAUAAAAUGAUCAAUUGUGUUUUUUUGUUUGUUUGUUUUGUUUUUUGGUACCGGGGAUCAAACUCGGGACCUUGUGCUUGUGAGGCAGA
rnacentral:lncRNA from 1 species